rnacentral:rRNA from 1 species
GCCUACGACCAUACCACCCUGAAUACGCCCGAUCUCGGAAGCUCAUCAGGUUCAGGCAUGGUUAGUACCUGGAUGGGAGACCGCCUGGGAACACUGGGUUUUGUCGGCU